rnacentral:rRNA from 1 species
UCGGGAAUAUUGGACAAUGGGCGCAAGCCUGAUCCAGCAAUACCGCGUGUGUGAAGAAGGCCUGCGGGUUGUAAAGCACUUUCAGUUGGGAAGAUAAUGACGUUACCAACAGAAGAAGCACCGGCUAACUCCGUGCCAGCAGCCGCGGUAAUACGGAGGGUGCAAGCGUUAAUCGGAAUUACUGGGCGUAAAGCGCACGUAGGCGGCCUUUUAAGUCAGAUGUGAAAUCCCCGGGCUUAACCUGGGAACU